AAAGACACAUCACCACAAAGAAACGAUCAUGCUACCUCAAUAGAACCCUCCUUUUAUGGAGGGCAGAACUCCAUUUGUCCUUUAAAAUGUCAAAGCAUAUCCUUCCAAGCUGCAUAAAUGAAGUCGUUGUAUUAAAUUUACAAAUCCUCGAAAAUGUUAAUAGACAACAAAAGAUAACCUAAGAUAAUCUUACUACUUGCCUUGUCAAUAUUGGGAUGAUAAAUUUUGGUAAGAAAACGAACCUGUUUCAAAAAUUAAAAGAAAAAAAAGAGAAGAAUCAGAGCGAAAUAGUUGAUACCGCAAUUCAAAUGCUAGUAAACCUCAGCACGAUAAAAAUUAAAGCUUGAACAAAAUUAAUAUGGCUUAUGGUUGAUGCCCAGUGAAAGGGUUCUACAUUGCACUCCAUCUUUAAUACCACUACAUCAUAAUGAAUUAGUGAUCAUCAACCAAUCAAAGAAAAAUAAUUAAGUAAACCAUAACAAAGCAAAUAUAUAUAUAUCACUAGUCCAAAUUCAGUGGAUCUAUAGUUAACUUCAGUUGGCUAACUAUAAGUAGCAGAAAGGGAUAUGUGCAAGAAAAAUAUGAUUAUGCUAUAUGCAAACAAACUAUAGGCCAAAUUAACAACUAAUCUAAUAAGUCAAUUGGAAUAUUGGCUCUAUAUUAUUUAGGAUCUAACUUGAGCUUCACUCCUGUGUACCAAACAAAAGCGACUGGUUCAAUGAAAGUUCUAAAUAUUCAUUGUAACUAGCCCACAAUUCUCAUUCCCUCUAAUUAUCAUCAAGCCAACAUGGACUUGGCCACAUUCAAUGCCAAGUUGCUAACUUGAAUCCAUGCAUGUAGACUUCUCAGUGGAACUAGCUUAAUCUUUGGCAAUUAAGCUCAAUCCUCUUGAAUACUCAGAUGAAAAGAGUAAAUACUAAUAAAAGCCUUUGAAUAUAUAAUACCACAUCUAGAGAUAACUAAUAAGAAAGUUAAAAGUUACAUAAUAUUAACGAGCUCAGAUCUAUCAAUGUACUUACAUUUUGGAUUCAAGAUAAGUUUUAGUAAAUUUGUCACAUCCUUUCACCACGUAAGCCUCGGUUAAUGAACACUCAUGACCCCUUAUCUUUUGACCAUUUGCCAAUUGCUAAGAAACUACAACAUUACCAAAGCAUUCCCUCUAACAUCAGGGGUGGGGGUUACCAAAUUAACUACCAAACUUUCUUUUUGUUUUGUUUUUCUUUUUCUUUUUGACUCGUUGGAGGAACCAACUUCGCAAAUGCACGGUUUCGAAUAGUUCAUCUCAACAGUUAUAUUUUAACUUGUUCUAAGGCUCAUAUAUAGAAGGCAAUGGUCCCAUUUCUCAGUUGUUGAACUGCAGAAGCUGCUGUUGCCGCAGGUGAUGAAAUGCUUUACCCCGAAGCACCAAAAAAAAAAAAAAAUCACUAAAAACUCGUAAAAGUUGGGAAAUAUUAGAGAGGAGAGGUCGAAGAGAGAACUCACUUGAGCAACUUGAACCUGGCGUUGAGUCAACAGCGGGGUGUAGUAACCGCCUUUAGGGUUAGGGUUAGGGUUUUUCGGCGGCGCGCGAAUUGGAGGAGACGAGGGUUUCUGUGCUGGGACCGUGAUGUUGACGCCGUUGAAGCUCCGGUGGUUACCUUGCUCGUGGAGACUCAUCCACAUCAUCUCGUCGGCGGCGAGAUUGAGCAGAUCCCAGGCGUCCUCUGCUAGGGUUUCUAGCGGAGAGGAUGGAGGAGAUGGAACCUGGGACGGGAAAGGAAAAGGGCGCACCUGAGAGACGCGGGAGAGUGAAGGGGCGCGCACCUGAGCAGACGCGGCCUUGGGAGCGGCGGAAGCGUGGCCGCCGGCCGUGGGGAAGAGCAAACGCGGCUGCCGUGGAGAAGGAGAAGGCGUAGCAUCAAUGGGGGGAUGGGGUUUUUUUGGUAGUGUCGAUGUCGGGGAAGAGGGGAGGACAUGGGGAAAUUAGGGUUUUUUUUUCGAGAGAGAGGAGUUGGGGAAAAGAGAAAUUUGGAGGAACUAGAAUUUUCUUUUGAGAGAGUUGGGGGGAAAAGAGGAAAAAAAUAAAAUAACAUUUUUUUUUACAGAUAUUAGAGGCGGUUUUAAAAACCCACCUCUAAUCUGCCUCUAAUAUUAUAGCUUAGAGACGGUUAUAACAACCGCCUUUUUACGCACUUUUUCUUGUAGUGUAACCACCCACUCAACCCUAGGGAGCCCACAUCAUCCUCACCGUACAUCUCUUAAUCCAAUGGCCAAAAACUUGGUAGCACCAAUGACUUGGUGCUAUUAAUAGUAUACUAGCCUAGUUCUCUCUCUCUCUCUCUCUCUCUCUCUCUCUCUCUCUCUCUCUCUCUCUCUCUAUAUAUAUAUAUAUANAAGAUAUGAUAUGCACACCAAUCUUCUUAGCUGUUGUUAAUAAAACAUUAUUUUUGAAGCAUAAUUAAAGAAAAAUGAAUAAAGAUAAAUUAAUACACAAAUAGAUAGAAUAUCUUUAUUUUUUUUGUUGUUAAUUUAAUUAUUUUUGUAUUGCUCUUUAUCUUCGCUUCUAGAUUUGGAAAACCUCGAGUAGAAGUUUUAAAAUACUAAACCUGAGAAAACCAAAAGAAAAAAGUACAGAAAACUAAUUGGAAUAAAAAACUUUCUUCCUUUUGCUUGGUGUCUAAUGUAGAGAAUCAGCAUACCAACAAUAACCACAAAAUUUUAAUUAAGUAAAAAAUUUAUAUUUUAACAAGCCUCUCACACACAACAUUCACUUUGUAGUGGACUUGCACAUUUAUGCAUUCACUUUGUAGUGUCCCUGAAGGUUAGCUAUCGAAAUGACUACUAUUGCAUCAGCUGGUCAACACAUUUGUAGAGAAUCGAAUGAGUCGGAAUCGUUUUGGUACAAAAUGAAUGCGAAAAUAGAUUCGAAGCACUGAAACUAGCAAAAAUUGAAGUUCUGGCCAGUUUAGGCUCCUAGAAAAUGGAACCAAGCACUCAGAACCGUAGUGCUUAACUAUAAGUGUUGUUUAUGCAAUUGGAGUCAUUUCUGGCACUCAUUCAGGCGCCCAGUUGUGAGCCCGAAUUUGCUUGGUGGACAACUUCGUGAUUAUCGACCAUUGUUGACAUCUGGCACUGAAACAUAUGGACAACUUCGUGAUUAUUGUCCAUAUGUUUAGGACGCUUUGUUGUGAGCCCGGUUUUUGGAUCCGGACUGGUUUUUGGGCGGCUUCAAGGGCCCAGAUUUUUUGUCCCACCAUUGCCUCUAUAAAAACAUAUGGACGACCCCAGUGACCUCUUUUCCUUUCUUCUUCGUUGUGAACUCCAUUCAAUAGCAUCUAAACCUCUAAUAAAUCUCUCCAAAAUCUUCCAUUCUUCCUGCGAGCUGUCAAGAACAGUAGGAACUCCAACAGUAGCAGCAGUAGUUUGAAGCUUUUCGAGAGUUUGAAGCUUCCUUUCGCUGUCAUGACUUAAUUCGUGGAUUAGAGUGUAAUUCUAGCAUCUUAUUUCUAGGUUAGUUUCUAGUUGCUGGAAAUUGGUGUAAAUGCGAUUUUGUUGAGUUUUGUCGAGUUUUUCUUUGAUUUUGGAUCCAGAUUCUAGCAGUGAUAUUGCUAGAUUUUAGUUUGUUUUUCCUUUACUUCUAGCAAAUUUAGAUCCAUUCCUAUUGGAUUCACAGGUUGGUAACUGAAUUCUCGGCCUCAAUUGAAGUAAUUUAUGAGUUUAGUGCUGAAUUCUGAAUUUCAUGUUUGGGCCUCCCUUUUUGAAUCCAAAACUGCAGCUAUGGGUUUGAGCUAAUUUUGAUCAGUUUUUCUAGUUUAGAUUGUGUGUUAAAGUUAUUCCCAGCUGGUAGCAAGGUAGGAUGAUUCCUUUUUUGUCAAAUUUCAGAUUUAAACCUCAAUUCCAGCAUUGAUGUAAUUUUUGUAUUGAAUUAGUGGAACUCUAUUCCUAUGAGAUUGUGAGGACUUUCUCUGAUUUUUACUGCUGAUUGGAGGAUGAGAGAGGCUCUUUUGGUGGUCGAGUCGUUGCCUAGUUGGAUUAACUCAAAAGGUGGGCUUAAGUUACUGAAUACGGCGGAAUUUUCAUUAUGUUUACUAAAUUGCAGCAUAUAUGCUAUUGUUGAUCAAUGUUAAUUAUUUUAGCUUCGAAUCACUAGAGUAGCAUAGAUAAUGCUGAAAUCUGAACCUUUAAACCUGUUUAUAGAGGAAUUUAGAUGCUCAAAUUAGACCCUAUGUAUGCUUAAAAUCUGCACUAUUCCACCCCGAAGCUCCGUCGGUAAUAUUUUACCAAUUUUUCACCUUACUUAAAGGGUUGUGAGCAUUUGGAUUAGUGUAGAAGGACUUUACACUCGUACUGAGGGCCAAGUGGAUUUUUACAACAGCUUUUAGACUGAGUUUUAUAAUAGGGUGCCGUCUGGGUUGACAGUNGGAUUUUUAGUCCGGUACGGGUGUGGAUAUGAUUUUCUAAAAUUCGUCGGAUUUGAAUUCGGGUUUGAGUUUCGGAUUUGAUAGUCGGGUUUGGGUUUGAAUUUUUAGAAAUUCGCCUCGAAUUCUACCCCUUUACAUCUUUACUGUGGAUAAGGAGGAAAGAAAGAGAGAGAGAAAGGAAACAAAGAGAGAAUAGAGAUUUGAUUUUUUAUAGUGGAAAUAAAAUCACUAAAUUACUUAUGCAUUAAAAGACUAAAAUACUAUUUUUUGUGGUACUUGAUAAUCAGUAUCUCUCUCAAAGUGAUCUGCUAUUGCAUGUCACAAUUUUGGAAAAAUUAAAUCUGAGCCAUUGAAUAGAAAUAAAUAAACGAUAUAAAAAAAUAACAAGUAUAGAAGCAUUACUGAACUAAAUUUCAUAAAGUUUAAAAAUUAUUUACACAUUGAUCAAAGGAUCACAAAAUCGACAGGUUUUGAUAGUAUAUAUAAGCCAUUUGCUUGUUAAUGGUAUAGAGCAAUUCAAAAUGUUUGAAUUUUUGAUUGAAAAUUUUUUAUACUAUUUAGAUAAUAUUUGAUAACUCCAAUCAUGAAUUGCGAAAGUUUAAACUCUAUUUUGAGAAGGUUAUACGUUUUUUAUUGUUCAUUUUUCGAUUCUUCGCUAGACUUGAUGAUAAUUUUUAAAAAUUAAGAAAUUCAGUUUCUAAAUAUUUUUAAUACUGUAGAUCAAUUUUCAAGGUGCCGAUUAUUAAUUUGAAGUCCUGAUCAUCGAAAAUGAUUUGAUAGAAUAACAACUUUCAUCCUCUUAACAAGAUAGUAGUUGGACUCUAUAUAACAAGGGAUGUGCAAUUCUCGCUAAUUUGGCACCGAAGGAUCUCAUAUUUUUGAACCUUGCGUUGUUUUUCACGGCAUCCUAUGUAAUUCCUAAAACUAAAUUUGAUUUUAAAAAAACACUACAAUGCAAUCAAAUUUUAGAGGACACUACAAUGCAAUCAAAUUUUAAAGGACCACCCUUAAGGGUGCAUUUGAUUUGGGUUAUCCUGACAGGAUUACAGGCAAUUCUGUCAGGAUUAUUGUGUUUGGUUCAUCCGUUAUGUAAUCUGUUAGGUAUUACAGCAUUACAAAAGGUGCGUUUGGUUCAAGUUAUGUAAUAUUAUAGAGUAUUUCGAUAUAUCCAGGUAGCUUAAUUUCUAAAAGAGAUUACUACUUUUGCUGCAUUAGCGCGUUUAAUUUAAUAUAGUAAUGUAAUUUUGGAUUGUAGCGUUUUUAGUAUUAAUAUGUUAGUUCUAUCUAUAAAUUCAGUAAUCUAGACAAUAAAAUAUAGUUUAUACCAAAAUUGCCUUUAGGGCGUNAGUGUAGAAGGACUUUACACUCGUACUGAGGGCCAAGUGGAUUUUUACAACAGCUUUUAGACUGAGUUUUAUAAUAGGGUGCCGUCUGGGUUGACUUUUGUAUUGGAUUAUAUCUGGGGCACGUGGACUACAGUUUCAUGAUCUAAUUGAUCAUUAGCAUUGAUUAUAGCCUGCAUGAGUCAGAUUUGAGCUCAACAGAGACUACGCUUUUUGUUUGGCUGGGUAGCUCCCUCGAGUGCUGCUUCGGAGUGAGGCUUUACGCGUUGGUGUUGCAACAUCCAUUUCGGCGACCUACCUUAGACCGACCACCCUAGAGGGUGGUACCGUGAUAAGUUAGAUGGUACACUUAGUGGAUGUUUAUGUAUCUUUAUUUUUAGCUUUGAGAAAUUAGUAGGUUGGUGCAGGCUUGACCGGCCUUAGAGGCGGUCAUCAAGAUUGAGUUGGUUAAUGUGUACUCAGUAGGUAGUUGAUGCAUCCAUUACAUUGAUAGUUCUUUUGAGCACUGCUAGUAUAGACACAUAAUAGCUAUAGAUUUAUUUUUAGCUUUACUACUUUUAGCUCUUCUACUUAUCCAGUUGUUACUUCUGCUUUCACAAACUCAGUGGAUAGGCCAUCAGCGUCGGUGAUGGUACAUACUAAGAACUACUUGUUUAUAGUAGUUCUCAUGUCCUUUGUUGCUAUUUUUUCUUGUAGAGCCUUCCACCCCUGUUGCUCUACUGAUCAAGAUAAGGGAGUUGCAAGUUAAAUCCCUAUCUACUUGCACGGGCUAAGUUAGAUGGUACACUUAGUGGAUGUUUAUGUAUCUUUAUUUUUAGCUUUGAGAAAUGACAUUGUAUUUGAUGGAUAUGUACUAGUUGUACUAUUUUGGGAGUUGUUGUUAGAAAAUUGCGUACGAUAAAACGCAGCGGAAAAGGAAAUCAAACAAAUUUGAUUUUGAAAACUCUCGAGAUCCAAUCUAAAAAACCACGCAAUUAAGAUCCCUCGUGUUCUUUAAGAUUAAAGGAGAAAAGUAAGAUCGAAUCAUUACCUUUUUCGCGGAUAAAUCCUCACCUCAAUUUGCUGAUCCUGGAAUUCGGUUCUCUUGAAGCUGCACACGCGUCCGGCCUCUAUAGGUAUCCACACGAGGUUCUUGAUUUGAUCGAUGUCCUCACCGGGGUGCUAGCUCCCUUGCAAAAGGACGUCUUUCUUGCUAGAAGAUGGAAGAGAGAAGAGAGGAUAGAUGACGGCUAGGAUUUUCUAAAAACUCCCGUAUAUUAUAUAUAGGAAUAUAAUCCUAUUUCUAAUAAUAUAAUGACAAUUAAGGAUAAGUAUAAAUCUAGAUUAAAAUUUAUCUUUUCCUUAAUUGGUUAGAUCGAUCAAAUCCUAAUUUGAUUCGACUUGAAUUUUAUAUUAAUUUGAUCUUAUCAAAUUAAUAAUGCAACAUUUGCACAUAAGUCCUCUUAUAAUUUACUAACUAUUAGUAAGUCCUCUCUUAUAACAUUUACACUUUAAUACCACUAAUUUGUAAUAAUUACAAAUUAGUCCAAUUAUCAACAUAUUGACAAUUAGGUCCUCCGACGAUUCAAUAAUCGCGAUCUAGCUAUCUGAUCAAUCACAACCUCUUAUGUGUGUGACCCCAUAGGUUCUAUUCUAUCUGGUAGUGAGAUAUAUUUUGAUCACUAUCAACAAUAUCACUGAAACUCCUUUCAAUGGAUUAGAACAAUUCCAACUCAGCCCAAUGAGAAUUAUCGAUCAUCUAGAUAAUUCUCAUGAGUCUCACAAUCCACCAGUGACGCCUAGCAGCAUGUAGUGGCAUUCCAGUAGAAUGGAAUACUGAACCUCUUGGUGCAGUUACCGUGUGAUACAAUCCUUCUAUCAUGAGUCCCGACUAGACGGAGGUUAUGGAAUAACUCGUCAAACCCCAUCGUCUGUCAUAUGUUAAAUUUAUUCGACUCGAGUUUCUAAUAUCGGAAACCCUUUUCCGCUAUUUAUUCUGCCCUGGCCAAGGUCUUCUAAACUCGGUCUCAUAAAUCACAUAGGACUAACACCCCUAUCUACCAAGGGAGAUAGAUUCCAUCUAAGUGCGCACCUUAUUCCUACAAUGAACCUACUGCAGCCAACAUGCACCGCAAGGACCCGAAUGGCUAGGGACCAAGUGUAUGUACAGUCAAACUAUAGUGACCUCAUUGUGAAUAGCCGAGGCACCGCAGGUCAAAGGACCAGUCACACUACUGCAACAUUGAGUAAGUCACUAACGAGUGAGUAGACAUCCAAGUGACUUCUCACGUUGGUCACGCUCGGUACCCUUGUUCUCUAACAACCACCUGCAUAUUCGCUUUAAUGUCCCCACACUGUCGACUCGAAACCCGUCUACCCAAAAGGGAAGCGACCUAUGCACCAAUCUCACCGGAUCAAUCACCGUCCCCGUGAUGAUCCAUUAAUCGGGAGCAUUUAGGAAUUAACCACCAAUGACACAUGUCUCAAAUUCUCAACUCUUGAGAAUAUAUGUCAUCAUCUUAUUAAUUCUUUGGACGAUUCAUAGACACAUACACAACAUGAAUAGAAAUAAAAACCCAAAGUUCUAAUAUUUAAAAGUCAAAUACAAAUUUAUGUCCUAGAAAGAAUACAUGUGUCGGCCUGGUUGGCUUCUAGGGUAUACGUCUAACAGUUGUAUGUAUAGUCGAUUACUUUUUAGCUUUUAGUAGUUUUCUUUCAACUCUGAUACUUGCUUGUAGUAACUAUUGUAUUGUUUACAAAUACUUCUUUCGCUUUGUGUAUACAGGGCUUUCUAUGUAUAUGACGGGUUUGUUGGCGAGCCCGAGUUUGGCUGCAACUCGAGGUAUGACACUCGCAUACACAAAAAACUCUGACACAAACCCACCACACACCAACACUCUACACUAGCUAUUUCUCCAACAUCACCUUGGUGUCGAGACCUCACACCUAAUUUUAGGCCUGCAAGGUUGGUUCAAGUGACUUAAUUAAGUCUAUGGGCCUAGAGCUUUCUUUAGAAAAUUCUCUAUUUCAGACAGAAAAAAUAGCGAAAAUAGAAAAAGAGCAGAGGAAGAAAAAAGAGAGAGAGAGAAAGAGAAAAGAGAAAAAGGAGGGAGCAUCGGUGCUUCUUUUAUACUUCCCCUUAACACCAACUCCCUCUUAGCAUUAUUCUGCUGAUCACUCCCAAUUACUUUUAGUAGUCCUCAAACUUGAUAGUGCUCAAUCAUUUGUUGAAUAUAUUUGUUACUUGCUCUUCCGUAUUGAUCAGUUCCUCAUUUAUAUAUUAUUUCUCCUUGCAAAAACUUCUCCCUUAUGAAGUGGUAGUGCCACCUCUACCUAUUUUGUUAUUGCAUGAAAGAUUGGGUUUUUCAUAAAACGUAGAGCUGAUUAAUUGUCGCGAUAGAGAGACACUGCAUAAUGUGAAGCUUGAUGUAAAUUGCUCAUAUACUAUGUCAGCCAAGUACUUUUUUGUGCCACCAUUGCUACUGACCUAUAUUCCACUUUAGUUGUACAAAGCGACACCGUCGAUUGCCUUUUGCUACCCCAAAUGACUACUACUGAACCAAGGUUGAAUUCAUAUCUUAUAGUUGAUUGUUUUCUCUCAUGGCCUCCAAUGUAGCCAAUGCUACAGUAGUCUCUUAGCUCACAUCUCUUUCCUUUUCUAUAUGGGAGGCCGUAGUCAAUUAUCCCUUUUAUGUACCUUAGAAUAUGCUGAAUCCUAGAUGAGGUUUCUUUGGCUUAUGCAUUUAUCGACUAACUACUCCAAUUGCAUAUGCUAUAUCUGGUUAGACCACACUUAGUUAUAUUUAGCUACCGACUAGUUGUCGAUACAUGGUUGAGUUGGCCAAUUCAUUUCCUUCUUCUCUAUAUAAUUUGGCAUUUAGCUCUAUAGGUGUAGACAUAGGCUUAAAAUUUAACAUACCAUGACUUCGAAGAAAUCCUUUGUAUUCUUCUAUGGACAUAGGAACAAGCUGUUCUUUAUCUGCUCCGUCAUGAGCCCAAGAAAGUGUUUUUCCCUCAUACUAUUUAUCUUCUCUUAACUAUCUCUAGUGAAUAUCUUCUCACAUUGCUUCUUGACGCAUAUGCUCGAGUCUGCGAGCUUAGCUUGGUAUCUGCAUUUGCACUAAGAACUCAAUUAUUUUACUAUACCAUGCUCUAUUGCUCUUAGUACUUAUUUCAAUCUAUAUAGAGCUUUUCUUAACUUGCAUACGUACUGAGGAUAAGUCUUACUUUCAAAGCCCCUUGGCUACUCCAUAUAUAUGUCUCAAUCGACUCACACAGGAAUGCGUUCUUCACGUCUAUUUGCCACGACUUCUAUGAUUUGCUAGUAGCAAGUGCUAUUAACAAUUGUACAGACAUGAUCUUGGCCAUGAGACUAAACGUCUCAUUGUAAUCCAGUCCAUUCUAUUGUGAGAAUCCCUGAGCAACCAAUCAAGCUUUGUAUUUCUCUACUGAUCAAUCUGGAUGGGUCUUUACUUUGUAUACCCAUGGGCAUGAUAUGGGUUUUACUUUCUUUGACCUCGACACUAGUUCCCAAGUUUGAUUUUGCUUCAGUGUCUGGUGUUGGCUAUUUAUUAUUAGCCUAAAAUAGGUCCAACUUUCUACCCCGUGACAAUAAACCCAGGAGACCAAUAAGUUGAGUUGGGUGAGCUUAAUAAAUUGAGUGGGAUUACGGUCCACAAGAGACCUAACGACGAGAGGACCAACAAUAGACCUAACGUUCAAGUGGGUUGAGUCAGGUUGAAGCCCGUGAGCACUGUUAUUUGAGCCCUAGUGCAAUAGGUGCGCCACUCCUACCAGCAUGUAUUUUUGGGAUAGUUGGUUAGCGCUUAUGAUCCACACCCGGAUCUCUUUCUCUAUUGCGCUUCUCUACUUCUUGCUUCCAACGUUCUUCAUGAGAGUUGGCUCUCUUGGAAUGUCUUAUUCUUUGGUAGUGGUAUUCACAUACUGUGGAUUAGGUUUUCUUUGCUUUGAAGACCUUUUCAUUUGCAUACUUGCAUCUUCAAAUUGAUCGAUGUUUCUCUAGGAUUUGAUAAUGUACGUCUAUUUGUCAAGUUCCCGGAGACUUCUAAGUUUUUUUUUAAUAGAAAAGAGAGGUAACCCUUCUCUUGUUUCAUUCAUUAGAAAAUAAACAAGCAAAGAGAAAGUGAGACAAGAUGACCUCAAGAACAAAAAGAUACAAAAAGCAAGGAAAAGAAAAUAUAAAAGAAAAUUAAAAGCUAGCUUAAGAAUCUGGAAACAACAGAGAAAUAGAAUCAAAACACCAAAUCCAAAAAGGAAAGAACAAGAAGCUGAGGUAUCAAGAUUGUUAAUCUGAUACAGUUUAAGUCGCAUGUUGUAUCAUGAUACAUCUCUGUUUGAACUAUUGCAUUUCUUCAUUUAAUUUUAUCUCACUCAAGUUGAUCCAAGAACGAGAACUAAUUUUUAUUACAGUACUUAUAUUUCCCAUCUUUGCUUAAAAAUAAUUUAUUUAUUUCGAUCCAUUUAUUCAACCAAAUACAACAUACUAAUAGGUGCUAUCUAUAAUGUACUUGACCUUCGCAAAUUGGUAAAGUUGCAGUUUGUCUUAAUGGUCGGAAGUUAUUAGUGGUAUUUGAAAGUUAAUGCGUUGAGUUGGGCCUGUUCUGACAUGAAACGAGCAUGAAAAUAGAACCCAUAAAUGAACUCAAUCGAAAUUUGAGUUUUAGAGCACUUUCGGACGCUUGAAAGAAGUUGUAGGCUCCCAGAAGUGCUGGGAUGAGGGAGAGGGUGUGUUUGGAAGGAUUCGGACCCUCUUAUGGAUGCCCAAAAGUUUCGGGUGAGAUUCCAGACAACUGGAAGUGUAUUAAUUGCUUCAUCCGAGUAGGAAGUGGAUAAAUUGUUGUGGUGUCCCUCCUCAUGAGGCAAUUAUGUGCAAAAUUGCACAUAUUUUGUUGGACCCAUUUUGUUGGGUUAUGUUGGAGCCAUUUGGUCUCAUAGGCUAAAUAGUUGGGCCAAGAUUUAUCUCCACUUAUUCAUAUGACUUAAGAGGUUAGGGCUUGGGAUGAGAGAGAGAGAGAAAAGAAGCUCUCUAUUUUUCUCUUGCAAAAAGAAAGAGGAGAAAAAUGGGUAGAGAAAAAGAAGCUAUUGGAGGCCACCAUUGUUAGGUUUGUUAGAGAAACUUUUGAAGCCGGGUUUGUGGGAAAGCCGAAGGAGCCCGAUUACCCUGCCGGGAGGUUUUCUUGGGUGGUGAUUCAUAAGCAACAUUGGUGGUGAGAUCUCUCCAAUAUUUCUCUUUAUUUGGAGCAAUAGCUUUGAUUCUUGUAAUCCAUGUCUCUAGUAGUAACUAGAAAGGAAUUGUACUCAUCUCAUUUCAUAUAGUGGAGUUGUUUGGAGGUGGCCCCGUGGUUUUUCCCUUUCUAGGGUUUCCACGUAAAUUUGGUGUUUGAUUUCUUGGUUGGUUUAUAUUUGCUUUAUUAUUGCUCUCUUUAUGGUGUAGUAUGAUUGGAAUUAAUCUACUUUAGGUUAUUUCCAUUUGAUCUUGCAUUGUGGGAGAAUUUACAUCAUUUUCUUCUCCCAACAAGUGAUAUCAGAGCCAAGUUAUUUGGGUUUAUGCAUAGAUCAAGAUGGAGUCGGGUACCUCUAGUAGAAUGGUGUCACUCAAUGGGAACAAUAAUUGGGCUAUUUGGAAACCAAGAAUGGAGGAUCUUCUCUUUUGUAAAGAUUUGUAUACACCACUUGAGAGUAGUAAACCGGACUAUAUGUCCAAGAAAGAGUGGAAGAAACUAGAUCGAGUAACGGUGGCCACUAUUUGUCAAUGGCUUGAUGAUGUUGUGUUUCAUUUGGUGGCAAAUGAGAUGUCCGCCAAGUGUUUGUGGAAAAAACUCCAUGAGCUAUAUAAAAGAAAAACCGCCGGGAAUAAGGCAUUUCUUAUUUGAAAAUUGGUGAAUUUAAAGUACAAGGAUGGAACUCCAAUAUCGGAGCACCUGAAUGGGGUUCAAAGCAUAGUGAACCAACUCACUUCAAUGAAGAUGAUGCUUGAUGAUGAACUUCAAGCAUUGUUGUUGUUAAGCUCUCUACCGGACUCAUGGGAGACAUUGGUAGUUUCACUUUGUAAUUCGGCACCGGAUGGAAUUGUCUCUAUGAGUUAUAUCACAAGUUGUUUGUUGAAUGAAGAAACAAGAAGGAAAGCCUCCGAUACAUCUACAUCACAAGCUCUUGUUUUGGAAAUCGAGGAAGGUCAAAAGGCCGUGAUUAUGGUGAUCGAUACAAAUCAAGAAGUAAGUCAAAACCAAAGAAAGAUAUUACAUGCUACUAUUGCAAGAAAAAAGACCAUAUGAAAAAAGUAUGUUGGACACAUAAAAAGGAUUUAAAAGAGGUUAAAGUCAAGGAAAAAGCAAAGUCCAAAGAAGAGGGAAAGCAAGGAGCUAUUGUAACUCUUAAUAGUGAUGUUGCUAUUAUGGGUACAUGUAGUCAUGAAUGUAUUAAUGUUGCAUCUUCUUCUUCAAAUGUUGAUUAGGUCAUUGAUACGGGUGCAUCCUUUCAUGCAACUCCUCACAAGCACUUCUUCUUAUUGUACAAAGCGGGAGAUUUUGGACAAGUGAAGAUGGGUAAUAGUGAAUCUUCUUAUAUUGUGGGGAUGGGAGAUAUUUGUAUCAAGACCAAUAUAGGGGUAAAGCUUAUCCUUCGAGAUGUUCGACAUGUACCGGAUCUUCGUCUUAAUCUUAUUUCUCCGGGAUGCUUGGAUGAUGAAGGCUAUGUCUCAUAUUUUGGUGAUGGCGCUUGGAAGCUAACUAAAGGAUCACUUGUGUUGGCAAGAGGCAAGAACUGUUGUUCUUUGUAUAGAACAAGUGCACAUAUAGAUGGAAGUGUUAUUGCGGCUAUGGAUGAUUCGGAGGGCACAUGAGUGAAAAAGGAAUGCAAAUUUUAGCAAGGAAACAAAUUCUUGCUCACUUCAAAGGUGCGUUUUCUAAACCAUGUGAACAUUGCUUAUUUGGAAAGCAUCAUAGAGUUUCUUUUGCAAGUUCUAUCUCAAAGAAAAGUAGAGAUCUUUGAGACUUAGUCUAUUCCGAUGUAUGUGGACCUAUUGAGGUCAAAUCUCUUGGUGGAAAUGUUUAUUUUCUUACCUUCAUUGAUGAUGCUUCUAGAAAAGUUUGGGUUUAUUUCUUGAGGUCCAAGGAUCAAGUUUUUAAUUAUUUUCCGCCAAGGUGGAGCGGGAGACGGGGAAGCUUUUGAAGUGUCUUCGGACCGAUAAUGGAGGAGAAUAUACCUCUAAAGAAUUUGCUUUCUAUUGCAACAAGUAUUGCAUUUGGCAUGAAAGAACCGUUCCACGUACACCGCAACAUAAUGGAGUAGCGGAAAGGAUGAAUCAAACUAUUGUUGAAAAGGUUCGAAGUAUGCUAUCUAUGUCUAAAUUGCCCAAGACAUUUUGGGGGGAAGCGGUUCGAACGGCGGUUUACUUGAUCAAUCGAUAUCCUUCAAUCCCUUUGGAUAGUGAUAUUCCGGAAAGGGUAUGGAUUCAAGAAAAUAUUUCUUAUUCUCAUCUAAAGGUGUUUGGAUGUAAGGCUUAUAUGCAUAUUCCAAAGGAGGAAAGGUCAAAGUUAGAUGAGAAGGCUUUACCAUGUAUUUUUGUGGGUUAUGCCGAUGAGGAAUUUGGUUAUAGAUUAUCGGAUCUCGAAAAGAAGAAAAUUGUUAGAAGCCGAGAUGUUGUCUUUUUAGAAGAUCAAAAUAUUGAAGAUGUAAAGAAAUUAAAAGAAAAACCAAGAGAUGCAUCAAAUGGUGUUGAUGAUGAGUUACCGGUCUCUACUACAAGAUCUCCACCCAUAGUGCUUGAUGAUGGGGGGGUUGAGGAGCUAGAUGCAAAUGGAGAAGAACAAAAUGCUAGUGAUGUUCAAAAUGAUGGAGGUGCAAAUGAAGAUGAUGGUGGCACAAGUGUUGAUGAUGUUAGUGCUCCAAAUGAAAACACCAACGUACAUGUUAGAAGAUCAACAAGGGAGAGGCAGCCAUCAAUGAGAUAUUCCCCAAAUGAGUACGUGUUACUUACCGACGGGGGAGAACCAGAGAGCUUUAAUGAGGCUAUUCUUAGUAAAGACAAAGAGAAAUGGUUGGAAGCAAUGCAAGAGGAGAUGAACUCUUUGCAUGAAUUGCACCUAUAAUUUGGUUUUUUUGCCAAAAGAAAAGAAAGCACUCAAAAAUAAAUGGGUGUUUAGAUUGAAGAAUGAGGAAAAGAAUGAACAACCAAGAUACAAGGCAAGAUUGGUUGUGAAGGGUUUUGCACAAAAGAAGGGUAUUGACUUUGAUGAGAUCUUCUCUCCGGUGGUAAAAAUAUCAUCUAUUCGGAUUGUUUUGUGCUUAGCCGCUUGUAUGGAUUUGGAGAUUGAGCAAAUGGAUGUAAAGACGGCAUUUCUUCAUGGAAGCUUGGAGGAGGAGAUAUACAUGGAACAACCGGAAGGUUUUCAAGUCAAUGGUAAAGAGCAUAUGGUUUGUCGGUCAAAAAGAUUCUUGGUUGAAGUAAGAAUUGAGUAAGGCCUUUUCUAUGAAGGAUUUGGGUCCGGCACAACAAAUCUUAGGCAUGAGGAUUUAUCGUGAUUAGAAAGUUAGAACACUAUGGUUGUCACAAGAAAGGUACAUUGAAAAGGUGCUUACAAAAUUUGGUAUGUUUAAUGCUAAAAUAGUUGGUUCACUACUUGCUUUUCAUUUUAAAUUGAGUUCCAAGCAAUGUCCAUCAAGUAGCAAGGAAAAAGAGGAAAUGAGAAACAUUCCUUAUGCUUCGGCGGUUGGAAGCUUAAUGUAUGCCAUGGUGUGCACGAGGCCGGACAUAGCACAUGCAGUUAGUGGAGUUAGUCGAUUUCUUGCAAAUCCCGGCAAAGAGUAUUGGGCGGCGGUGAAAUGGAUUUUAAGAUAUCUUAAAGGUUCUUCAAAAUUAUGUUUAUGUUUUGGAGAGGGGGAACCCGUACUAGAGGGCUAUACGGAUGCGGAUAUGGCCGGUGAUGUCGACUCAAGAAAGUCUACUUCAGGCUACUUGGUUACUUUUGCCGGUGGAGCUAUAUCAUGGCAAUCAAAAUUGCAAAAAUGUGUGGCCUUGUCUACUACGGAAGUGGAAUUCAGUGCUAUCACCGAAGUUUGCAAGGAAAUGUUAUGGAUGAAGCGGUUCAUCGGUGAACUUGGGCUAAAGCAAUGUAUGUUAUCUAUGGUGAUAGUCAAAGUGCCAUUCACUUGUCCAAGAAUUCAAGUUUUCAUUAUAGAAGUAAACACAUUGAUGUAAGGUAUCAUUGGAUAUGCGAUGUUCUUGAGAAGAAGUUGUUGACACUUGAAAAAGUCCACACCGAUAAAAAAGCAUUGGAUAUGAUGACAAAGGCUUUAUCUAAGGAGAAGCAUGAGUUAUGUAUAAGUAUGGCCGGGAUGACAAUUUGCUUGGAUAGAAAACUCUCCUCAUGAGUCGUGAGGGAAAGUUUGUUGUGGUGCCCCUUCUCAUGAGGGAGUUAUGUGCAAAAUUGCAUAUAUUUUGUUGGACCCAUUUUGUUGGGUUAUGUUGGAGCCAUUUGGGCUCAUGGGCUAAAUAGUUGGGCCAAGAUUUAUCUCCACUUAUUCAUAUGACUUAAGAGGUUAGGGCUUAGGAUGAGAGAGAGAGAGAAAAGAAGCUCUCUAUUUUUCUCUUGCAAAAAUGAAAGAGGAGAAAAAGGGGUAGAGAAGAAGAAGCAAUUGGAGGCCACCAUUGUUAGGCUUGUUAGAGAAGCUUUUGAAGCCGGGUUCGUGGGAAAGCCGAAGGAGCCCGAUUACCUUGCCGGGAGGUUUUAUUGGGAGGUGAUUCACAAGCAACAUUGGUGGUGAGAUCUCUCCAAUAUUUCUCUUUAUUUGGAGCAAUAGCUUUGAUUCUUGUAAUCCAUGUCUCUAGUAGUAACUAGAGAGGAAUUGUACUCAUCCCAUUUCAUAUAGUGGAGUUGUUUGGAGGUGGCCCUGUGGUUUUUCCCUUUCUAGGGUUUCCACGUAAAUUUGGUGUUUGAUUUCUUGGUUGGUUUAUAUUUGCUUUAUUAUUGCUCUCUUUAUGGUGUAGUAUGAUUGGAAUUAAUCUACUUUAGAUUAUUUCCAUUUGAUCUUGCAUAGUGGGAGAAUUUAGAUCAUUUUCUUCUCCCAACAUAAAUAAAACUGAGUAGGAAGCGGUGAGCAGGUGACUCAUCAUUUGAGUUUUAGAUGCUCACCAAUAGUUUCGGGUGCCUGAAACAGCUGUGUUGGCAAUGCUAAUGAGGUUUUGGAUGUCCAAAAAUAGUUACAGGUGCCCGUAAGCCAUUCGGGCUAAAGGGCUCUCUUUGGUUAUUUUCUAGGAUUUUAGAGGCCUAGAAAUAAUUGUUGCAUUUCUAUAAUAGAGAUUAUUGCCCCAGCUAAUUCUUCUUCAUCUUCUUGCUGAAGGAAAUCCUUUUCUCGUUCCUUUUUACCAUUUUCUCCAUUAUUCAACUUGUGCAUUCUUGGUUGGAGAGGCCUAAAAUUAAUUAUGCUUCCUCCUAUUGGCAUCUGGUUUGUACACAACUCAGAGUGUGGAUUGAGGGUUAAGAAGGAGAGCUACAGGUGAUUCAGCUACUUCGUUUUUCAACCCAUUAUUACUUCAACGAGGUAAGAAUAAAAGAGUUAGAAGUGGAAGACAUUGAGAUUUUGGGUAAUUCAUUGUUGUCGAGGAUAUUUGUUGAUUUGAAAGAUAUAGUUUUGCAUAGUAUGAGGUUGGUCUACAGAAGAUUACUAGUGUAGAGUUGUAAGGGGGUUUUGAGGAGCUGAAAUCACUAUACUUCAGAUCGGAGAUUGUUUAGGUGGAUAUUUGUUGCAGAAAUCGGCAAGCUAAUUAUUAUGUCUAUAUGUAUUCCAGUUGAAAUUAGUUGGUCUCCAUGAUAUACAAAACUUGGAAAUAUGUUGCUAUCCACUUUGUCUUGUUGUAGAGAGCAUGCCAGAUGGGUUGCUAAUUGAGUAAGUAUAAUAUUGAUAUAGUUGUCAUUGUACUGAUACCGUUGGAACCAUGUUGCAAUACUAUACAUGUUACAUUCUUUGAGAUUUGAUCCUAAUAAAUUGUUGAAUUAGAUAACAUAUUAUCUUUCACCUUGUUUGUUAUAGGAAACAUGUUAGAGAGAUUAACAUGUUGAUUGGAGUUAUAAUGACAUAGUAGAAAGUAUACUGUUACCUUUGACAUAUUGAUUGGAGUUAUGAAAAUAGUAGAAAGUAUAUUGUUCCCUUUGGCAACUUGUUGUCAACACGAUGAAUAUUGCGUUUCUUUGAGAUUUGUACCGUGUUUUGAUACACAAGAGAGUGAAUGAACUUAUGUGAUAGGUAAAGGGACAAAUAAAGAGAGUAAAAUGUGAAAGCAUGAAAGUAAGGAGGAAAACAUAUGAAUGUGCCAAGGGCAAGCGAAUAGUGGAAAGACAAUGUGAAUUAUGAUCUUGUUAACCAUUGCAUAUGACUAUAGCCUAUAAAAGCCAAAUUGAGCUCAACGACAUAUGUGGUACUUUUAUGGUUCUUGCCAAAAUGGUGGCGAUCUUUGAUCCAAGGAUUGCGAGAUGUCAUCCAUGAGAGUAGGCACAGGUCUGACCGAAUCUAUGAGUCGGUUAUUAUGAUUGGGUUAUGUAGCAUUUCUUAUUAGUUACUAUACUUGAUGCAUUAUAAGACAUGUUUUAUAGUUCUCAGUGUUUCUUUAUAUAGGCAUGAUAUUAGAUAUCUAUUUAUAGUUCAGCAUAUUACGUGAUUUAUUCAAUUCAAUUUAUACCACCGAUGUCUCGAGUAGACCUAGUGGUUUAGGUCGUCAUUAUCGUCGAUUAACCCAUUGACAUUUAUUUUUCAGUAGUUCGCACGUUAUACUAUUUAUUGAUUUUAUUUCAAAGCCCUCACAAUCGACUGGUGGUCAAGAACUCAAGAUAAGAGGAUCGCAGAUUAAGUAGUGCCUCCUACUAGUGAAGAACCAUUCCCGAAUAGUAUAGCUAGCUGUACAUAUUGGGCCAAGAGGAGUAGGUGGUGUGUAUUUUUUUUGGUUGUGUGGUAGAGACAUGUACAGUUAUAGCUAUAAUUAUAGUUGUUUAGUUGUAUAUAGACUCAAAAGACAUUUUUUUUUCCUUGAAUAUGCUCCAUGUAUAUAAUUUGGAUAGGUUAAUUAGACUAAGCUUCGUAUAUACGGGGGGUGUGUUAUCGUGCACAUGGCAGAUCUAUUAGCGUACUCGGAGGCUUCGGCUGUAACUCGAAGCAUGACAGAUUAAAUUGAUAUUAGAACCUAUGUAACGACGUAGCCCACUAGCAACAAUAACUCGUUGGGCCCAACCACCGGACCAAAAUGCUUAAGCCCAGUUAUUAUCACUAGUGUCUAAGUCUCUUAUAUACCCAAUCACAUCCCCAUUCCUAUUCGAUGUGGAAUUAUUGGAGUGUGACAGACUCCCCCCGUUAAGGCUCUGACGUUCUCGUCAGUCCAAUCACACACACAGCCCAAGAUCACCAGGCAAUGUGAGACUCGUCUCGGUAGCCUUGUCAUCUAGAUCCUGGCAUAGCCGGUCACCUUGUCAUUCAGACUCUGGCAUAGCCUAUCACCUUGUCUUUCCGACCUUGCCUCAGCCGAGACUCGCUACACAUUUUCGGCUGGUGAACUAACUCUGAUACCAAAUGUAACGACUUAGCCCACUAGCAACAAUAACUCGUUGGGCCCAACCACCGGCCCAAAAUGCUUAAGCCGAGUUAUUAUUACUAGUGUUUAAGUCUCUUAUAUACCCAAUCACAUACCCAUUCCUAUCCGAUAUAGGAUUAUUGGGGUGUGACAACCUAAUAAUGUGUUAAGUGGACUGAAUAAAUUCUAGGCUUUUGGCAGACCUCAAGGAUAGAAGGUCGUGAGCAAUGUGACUCAUAGUGAAAGUCGAUAAAUUGAGUUAUGUGAAAUCUUCAAAAGUGCAUUUAAGAGUUGUAGAAGGUGCCGUGUUUUUUCCUUCUAGAUAAUUAUAUUGGCCAUAGAAAGCACAAUAUCAUAGGUAGUGUUGAUGCCAAAAAUUAGUGUGCUAUAAGAUAGACGGCCUGACUCACUCAAGAGCCAAAAAAAUAACGACACGUGGUACACCAAGAGCCGACAACAAGGCGUCUAAAGGCGGCGAGCCCUUAGAUGGGAACGGUUGAGAAGUGGGGCAUAAUUUACGCAUUAUGGCAAAAGCACUCCUCCCACUACUAAAAUAGACCAAUAAUGUGGGCUAAUAAGAUAUUACUACAAAUAAUAAUUUCGAAGCUUGCAAUAGGGGUAUUUUUUCCUUAUGAACGAGAAAGCCAUAGCAUUUUCAAUACUUCUACUUUCUGCAUUUAUCGCUUUUCUAAGAGUAGUUUACUUGUAAUUUUUACUAUUUCAGCAUUUACAGCUUUUCCUAGGAGUAGUUUUAACCAUACUUGUAACCCAUGCUUCCCCACAAUACAAACGACUCGGUUCAUUCAACCGAGUUUUCGAUCAGCCGAAUAUCUUUUCCCUAAGUCUUCGGCUUUAAGUACUGAAGUGAGAAGAACCCGGUUGAGCAAUCCUUCCUCAGCUGAUCGUGUGAUUUGAUCGCAAUGCAUUAGAGGGUCAAUUCAGGAGCCGAUCUAGAUCCCAAGAGAGCAUCGGACCCGGUCAAUGCAUUGAUCUGGUUAGCAUCACCUCGCGUUUGAUUUCUAGCACAAUAGCUUUUGGCACACUCGGUGGGACUCUCAGAUAAGAUAAGUAAUGAAAACCCUCUUAACCUUGAAAAUAGAGCUCUUCCCAGAUCUGUUGGGAAUAAACCAGUCACAGGUGUCAAAGAUUUGAGUGAAAUUUAAUCGGCACUAGCCGCAAUUUCCAGUUGUUCAGACUCUCGCUCAAAUGACACGAGUAUUACGAAUCUUUGACUGAAACAGUCAGCAGAGUACGACUCGCUUAGAUGUGAUAUUGGGUGCGGUCACAACCUCGAAUGAGAGGAUAGCUCGGAUUGGGCAAAUAUUAGCCCGAAGCAAUCAAACGGUUGGAGGACCUCAGGACCCUCCAGCUUUAAAUCAGCUUGAGGGGCAGAAUGCUUUUCAGGCCAACCCGUCGUUACAGACCGUGGUGACUCAAGUGUUGUUGUCGCAACAACAGGCAUUUCAAGCAGCCUAUCGGCCGGUAAAUGUUAACCCUGGGUCUCAAACAGAGGUAGCUUGCGUGCUACCUCCUCUUCCACCUUCUCUGCCAAUUUUUCUGCCUCAAAAUGAAGGCUUUAGGGCUCGGGGCCAAGGCUCCAAUGUAUUGUAGGGAUUCGACCUUGUAAUGCAAAACUACAGACCGCCUCUAGGGCCGAACGUGUUUCCGGCCCCGGUUCCUACUCCAACGGGAGGAAAUAAUGAGCUGUACGCUCAAAUAGAAGAGGCAAUUUGGAACACAUUUGGAGUAGGGGCAAGACCUGCUAUGAGGCCUAUAUUCAGGUCUCUGUACCUUGCAAACAUUGAUACGAAGCAUCUCUGCCCGACGAAUUAGAGAAUGCCAAUAUUCGACAAAUUCUCAGGAGAAGAACCGAGAAUAUGGUUAAGCACAUCGCUCGGUUCACGGCCCCAAUGCAGAGAAAUGGCGGCCGACCCGUUUUUAAGGUUACGACUGUUUAACACGUUGUUAACUAAGACGUGUGCACAAGCUUACCACCAAUGUUCGAGAUUGGGACGAGUUGGAGAAAAAGUUUCACAAAUAGUUUUACAAAUCAGAACCUAAAUUAUUAGUGGCCGAUUUAGGUACAAAAGUCGGCUGAAACGGUUGAAGAAUACUUAAACCGUUUCAAGACAACCAGAAAUCGGUGUUUCUUGAGAAUGACAGAAUCUAAUUUUACCAAAAUGGCGUUCAAUAGUCUAUAUUUUAAAAUAAAGGACCAUUUCGAAGAUAAGUACUUUCCUAACCUAUUUGAUCUAGGCGAAUAUGAGCAAUUUCGAGAGGAAAAUAAAGAUGAUCGGCUGCAAUGGAGCUAAUAUAAAAAUUAGAGCAAAUGCAUGGAGAAAUCAUUGAUAGAAGAACAGUCGGUUCAAGAAAAGCCGAGCCAAUCAGAUGAAAGUAAAGAAUCGACUAAUGAAGUCGAAGUGUAUGCGGCUGAGAUAGUAAAGAGCUGACAACCAUAUAAAUGUGUUUUCUCUAAGCCGACCAGGACCAGCGAGACUAAAGCGCGGGUCUUGGCUAUUACCAGGCCGUUGAUUUGGCACUGAGAGUCAUCCGAACGUUCAUUCAAAAAACUAUCAGGGAGCAUUGUUGAUGCCAAAAGUUAGUACGCCAUAAGAUAGACGCUCUGACCCACGCAUGAGCCAAAGAAAUAAGGAUACGUGGUACACUAAGAGUCAGCAACAAGAUGUCUCAAGGCAGAGAGCCCUUCCGCGGGAACAGUUGAGAAGUAGGGCGUAAUUUACAUAUCAUGGCUACAAUACUCCCCUCAUUACUAAAACCGAACAAUAAUUUCAAAGCCUGCAAUAUAUAGGGGUCUUUCUCCCCUACAAACGAGAAUACCAUAACAUUUUCAAUACUUCUACUUUUCUGCAUUUAUUGCUUUUUUAGGAGUAGUUUACUUGUAAUCUUUACUAUUUUAGCAUUUACAGCUUUUUCUAGGAGUAGUUUUAACCCUAGCUACUUGUAACCCGUACUUCCCCACAAUACAAAUAACUCGGUUCAUUCAACCAAGUUUUCGAUUAGCCGAAUACACUUUUUCUGAGUCUUUGACUUUAAUUAGUGAAGUGAGAAAGAACUCGGUUGAGCCGAUCCCUCCUCAGUCGAUUGCCUGAUUUGAUUGUGGCUCAUUCAAGGGUCAAUUCAAGAGCCGGUCCAGAUCCCGAUAAAGAUGUCCGUGGACCGGGUCGGGUCUGGGUAAUUAAUAUACUGUACCCAUACCCUAAAAAGAAAUGGUUACAAAAAAAUAUAUAUACCCUACCCAUUUAACUUCGGGUCGGGUCCGGGUCUGGGUACUAAAGUUUCUAAUAUACUCAUCGGGUCUAUUUGAGCGGGUCUGGAUAGUGACUAUCCAUAUACUAUCCGUUCAAAAUCGGAUAUGGAUCGGGUCUAAAUCGGGUACGGAUAUUUGUAUAAAUAUAUUUUUUUAUAAACUUUAUUAAAUAGUCAAUAAACAAACUAUAUUGUUGACAAUGAAAUAUUGUUGGCGGAAAUGAAAUGAAAAAAAAGAGUAGAAAACAAAGAGUAAAAAAAUUAGAAAAAAGUAAUGAGUAAAAGAGACGGCUAGGGUUUCAUUAGGAUGAAAAUACAUAGUGACUCAUCAUCUAUAAGUCAUAUUAAAAUUGAUCCUUCAACUUCAAAAGUUUAUUUUUUUUUAUUUACUAUCGGAUAUUUCAUCGGGUCCGGGUCCGGGUCCGGAUUUGAAAACUAUUCCGGACCCUACCCAUUUAAAAGUUAGGUUCGGGUCGGGUCCAAAUCGGGUAUGGGUAUAAAAUAUCCGGACCUAUACCCGAAAUUUUAAUGGGUAAUUUUUUUUUAUCCGUAUACUAUUCAUUUUUUAUCGGGUCCGGUUCGGGUCCGGGUAGGGUCCGGAUCGGGUAUGGGAUAUCGGAUAUUUUGGACACCUUUAGAUCCCGAUGGAGCAUUGGAUCCGGUCAGCAUCGCCUCGUGUUUGGUUUCUAUCGCAAUAGGUAGAAAAGGGGAUGUCUCUUUAGACUUUCACUUGAUUGGGUCGAAUUGUGUGUUAUUGUGUAAUUAAUGUUGUUUAGUUCCAGAUAACUGAGAUGGCACAACAUGUGCGACCUUUUUAUUUAUUUAUUUUUCCUUUUUUGGUUCUUGCUGUUUUCUUUUCUGGCCAGUGAGCAGCUCAAUUGCUAUCCAAUUAGCUUAUUAUUUUUAUCCCUGACUACUUUCAAAUAUAUUUUAGACCACAAAUUGUUGAAACAAUGACCAAUUUCAUAACCAAGAAUCAAAUAAUUUUCUGAAGAAUAUUGACAGUAAUUGCAUGCAUGGAUACUUGUUUUGGCAAUAGAUUGAGAAAGUAUUUAAAGGCCAUAAAGAAUUUUGAGGAAACUCGAUCACCAAACUCCGCCACACUUCGAACAUGUUGUCCACACCACAAAUUAAGUUAUUUUUCCAAGAAGAGCGAUAAUAAAGGCUUUAAGAAGACCCUUGUCGCAUAGUCAGUGGCAGCCAUAUUUUACUAAAUCAACUUGGUGGACAAGAACAAUCCGCGUCUGCGGCACUUCCGGAGAAUUUAAUUUUUUUUUAAAAAAACGCAACUACAACAACAAUAACAAAAUAAAAGCGCGGAAAGCAUGGUAGUUAAAGAACGACUGUGUCUGCUGCACAUCGGGAGAUUUACAAUUAAAAAAAAAGAAGAAGCAACAACAACUACAAUAAAAAAAAUAAACGUGCAGAAAGCAUUAGCAUCUUGGAACUAGAGUUUCAAGUUUAUUAAAUUAUGGAGCCUUUAAGAGGCAUACAGCUUUUUAUAAACAUAUCAAAUAACCGAUAUAUGUUUUUAUAAAAUUUAACUUUUCAUAUUUAUUUCUGUAAAAAUUUUAAUAUUUUCAAAUAUACUUUUGCUAUUAGGAUCUGUUAGAAAAAUGUAGUUAAUCUUAGGUAAAGUACUUAAUUCUGAUUAGUGAAUGAGAUAAAUUGACCUUUUUAACCCUCCUAUAUUAUUUGUUAUGGUAGAAAAAAAAAUAAUAGUUGGAGAUUUUUCAAAGCACAUUUCUGUAUAAUUCUAAUAGUUGGGGCUUUUAGAGAGACAUAUUUGUAAUGAUAAAAAUAUUAUUUUAUUUACUUUCUGUCAAAAAUAUAAACAGUGCCCUAACGCUAAUAAAUAAAGGGGUAGAUAUAGAUAUUACUAACUUUAUAAAAAUAACAUUAAAAAUUUAAACUUUAUUGGGGUAAACAUUAAUUUUGCUAUCGAUUUUUAUAUGGAGCUGUACGAAGUUAACCAUAUAUUAUUAUACCGUACUUAUAUUAUUUUUAUUUAUAUAUAUUAUACUAUUUAUUUUUAAAAAAAUACUAUUGUAGUAUAUAUAUAUAUAUAUAUAUUAUAUAUAUAUUAUAUAUAUAUAUAUAAUAUAUAAUAUAUAAUAGUAGAUGCUGUGCUCUCGGAGCACGGAGGUCUCCGUGCUCCUAAGCCGUUUUCGAUGAUGGAAUUUUCGAAUCGACGAUCCGCUCCGUUACGACUUGAUCUAGCGUAUUUGAAGUUUCUGAAAAUAAUUUUUGCGAAUUUUUCGAUAUCAUUUACUUAGCAAUCGAAAGAAUUCAAAUCAAUAAUUUUAAACGCUGAAAAUAAAAAUCCUAUAAAACUGGUGAUAUUAGCACUAAAAUUUUCGAUCAGAGAAUAUUGAUAUUGUGUAGAUAGUAAAAAAAUUUGUAUCAAAAUUUCAUCUGAUUUGAAUACUUCUGUACCGUUAAACUGAAAACGGCAGAUAUCUAACCAUAAAAAAUUAUUGAUUUGAAUCCUUUCGAUCACUAGGUAAAUGAUAUAAAAAAAUCGCAAAAUUAUUUUCUAGAAAACUUCAAUAUCCUAGAUCGUUAACGGAACCGAUCGUUGAUUCGAAAUUUCAUUCAUCGAAAAUGGCUCAGGAGCAGCGGAGGCCUCCGUGCUCCUCAGAGCAAGCAGCCCUGCUAUAUAAUAUAUAUUAUAUAAUAUAUAUAUAUAUUAUAUAUAUUAUAUAUAUUAUAUAAUAUACAUAUAUAUAUAUUAUCAAUCUCUACGUUGUAAUUUAAAUUUAUUUUUAUUUUUGUGUUGUAACAGUUCUUUAGUCACAGAUAUCAGUAACUUUUUUUUUCUCACUAAUUUCUACAUUGUUGUUAACAAUUCUAUUAUUUUUAAACUAAGUAUAACAGUUUUAUUAAGAGAUACUAGUUAAAUAGUAAAGUGAAUGUUCGAUACUAGGAGCAGGCUGCUCUGUGCUCUCAGGAGCCACGGAGGCCUCCGUGCUCCUGAACCGUUUUCGAUGAUAGAAUUUUUGAAUUGAGAUCGGCUCCGUUAAGACUUGAUCUACGCAUUUGAAGUUUCUAGAAAAUAAUUUUUGCGAUUUUUCGAUAUCAUUUACCUAGUGAUCGUAAAGGAUUCAAAAUCCAUAUUUUUAAUGGUUGAUAUCUGCCGUUUUCAAGUUUAACGGUGUAAAGUAUUCAAAUCAGUAGAAUUUUGAUAGAAAAUUCUUUUAUACUAUCUCACAACAAGAUCUAUAUUUCUGAUCGAAAAUUUUAGUGCUUAUUCACCACUUUUUAGAUAUGAAAUUUUUAUUUUCAGCCGUUAAAAAUUAUUGAUUUGAAUCCUUUCGAUUGCUAGUUAAAUGAUAUCGAAAAAUCGGCAAAAAUUAUUUUCUAGAAACUUUAAAUACACUAGAUUAAGUUUAAGCAGCCGAUCGUCGAUUCGAAAGACGCUCAGGAGCAACGGAGGCCUCUGUGCUCCUGAGAGCACAGCAGCCCUGCUCUCGAUACUAGACUCAUUAUUGGAAACUUCUAUCAGUUAUUUUAAAAUUUUUUAUUAUUAUUUAUUUUUACGUGCAAAAUGAGUUGAAUAUGUGUUAUAUCAUUUUAACGAUUAUAAUUUAAUAAAUGUUUUAUGAAAUUAUAUAUUUUAUUCCUUGCGGCCGCGCAGGAUAGAAGAGAAAAGAUAGUUGAAUUGUUUUCUUGAAAAAAAAAAAAGCGUUAGUGAUAGAAUUUUUGCAAGAAAAGAAUGAAGCAGGUAGCUUUGCUAUCUUUUUCUUCAAAACAGGAAAAAAAAAAAAUUUAUAGCAUAUAUAAUUAAACUAGUGCUGGAAAAUACUUUUGCCUGCAUCUAUUGUACCCUUAGCUAUUAUAUAUACACCACAAUCAAUAUCUAGUUCCUACUUUAAAAAUAAAAAUCUAAGCUAUAACAUAUAUGAUCUAUAAUAUUUAAAGAUAUGUAUAUGAAGGUAAUAAGUUUGGAAAAUCUUUAUUUAGAUGUUAAGUACGUAGUUUCAAGAAUUUGCAGUUCCAUAUAUAAAAGUUCAUUAUCCAAAAUUUUAUAAUUUUUUGUAUAUAAUAUUUUUAAUAUCAUAUGAUACAACUAAUAAAUUAGGUUCAAAAUUUGCUUGUGAUAUGUGUAGCGAAUGCAAUCUACUUACAACAAGGAGCAGUAUUAAUAUAUUUUCGAUUCAAAACGUGUUGAUGUCCUAUUUUUUAAAGAAAAUGCUGAGCUAUCUUAUCCGAAUUUUAUCGUAUUCUGUGUGUUACAUCUAUGUCCAUGUAAUAUAUAUAGCCAAUAGUUGACUAAUUUAGUUGGAACAAGCAUCUAUCUUCUGAGGCCUCUGCAUCACAGAUUUGCAAUGCCUCCUAGGCUAGUUGCUGUUCUCCUAGCUCUCUUUCUCCUUGCUGCAGGGAGGAACAUAAUUGUCUCAGGAAGUGAGGAUGAUGACGAUUUCUUCAAGAAAUGCCCGGCUUCGCGGUGCGCGGAAGGCGGCCUGGAUAUCAGAUUUCCGUACAGGCUCGACUCGAGCCCUUCGUUCUGCGGCGCUCCUGGAAUGGAGCUCUCGUGCUCGGGCAACGACACCGUCCUAGCGUUCCCGCAUGCAGGAUCUUUCAUUGUGACUACGAUCGACUACUGUUACGGUGAGAUCACGAUCAAGCUGGGAGGUUCGUGUUUACAUGGCUUGACGGGAAACCUGGGAUUCGGCAAUCUAACCGCUUCGGUGUAUGAACCAUUGGAGAGUUACAACAUCAGCUUGCUAGGCUGCCCAAGAAAAUGGACACCUGCAGACGAAGACUAUGUACUUAUCGCAGGCCCUAUCUCUUGCCUUAGCACUGCAUCGCAACUUGUUUAUGUGGUGUUUGCCUAUGAUGAUUUUCGCGCUCUUCCUUCGGAUUGUCGGGUGAUCGCAGACAAUCUUACAAUUUCCUUUCGGCGUAUGACCAAAUCCAAUUAUGAUUGGCCCACCUUCAAGGAAUGGGCGGCCGCCUUAAAGGAAAGGGUGGCCGAUCUCAUAACGUGUGGCGAGGUGACUCUAAGGUGGUCUGUUCCUCAAAUAACCGAUACAUGCAUUCAAUGCGAAAAGGCGAAAAAGUACUGCAGAUUUAGCUCGGUGACCAACCAAGCAUUCUGCCCGCACGGUAACAUUCCGAUUCACCGUUACCGUAUUUUGAAUCCAAUUGCUGUCACUUGACUCCUUAUUCUACUUCAUUUCACAGGUCCAAAUAUCACGCUAUUCGCAGGUGCAUAUCUUAUUGAAAUUUUUGUUCCGGCAAAAGAUCUUCCACUUUAUCUCAAAGUUUUCAUCAAUGCCAAGUAGGCUACUUGAACGGACCAAAAACUGCUCGAUCAUAUAUAUAAAUAAGCAUAUCUGCAUAAAAUGAGUUACAAAUUAAGUUCUUUUUUAUAAUUCACAUAUAUUUCCGCAUCAUUAAUUGAUUGUGAUUUAUGAAUUCUCUCCACAGCAACAUCUUCCGCCGCAUUUAUUAUACUUUUGUUGCUGGUUGUUAUCUUAGUCUUCUUCUAUAGACGAUCCAAAAAGGAAAAGGAAAUACGUUUGAAGGUGGAGAAAUUCCUCGCGUCGUACAACACCAUAAAACCGACUCGGUACACCUUCUCGGAGCUUAAGAAGAUUACUAAAAGAUUCAAGGAUAAACUGGGCCAAGGUGGCUUCGGGAGCGUCUACAAGGGCGAGUUAGCAAAUGGAAUUCCUGUUGCGGUAAAGAUGCUCGCGAGAUCUACGGGAGACGGUCGAGAGUUCACCAACGAAGUCGCGACAAUCGGACGAAUUCACCAUUUCAAUGUCGUUCGCUUGUUGGGAUUUUGCUCGGAAGGAACCACACGGGCACUUAUUUAUGAGUUCAUGCCAAAUGAAUCACUAGAGAAGUACAUUUUCUCUAAAAGUCGGAAUACCCUUCAUGAGCCACUAAAAAUGGAGAAAUUGUUAGAGAUCGCAACAGGAAUUGCUCGGGGGAUCGAGUAUCUGCAUCAAGGAUGCAAUCAACGCAUUCUGCACUUUGACAUCAAGCCUCACAACAUUUUAUUGGAUCGCAAUUUCAACCCCAAGAUAUCCGACUUCGGUCUCGCGAAAUUGUGCUCGAGAGAUCAAAGCAUUGUUACGAUGACCGCGGCAAGGGGCACAAUAGGCUAUAUCGCGCCGGAGAUGUAUUCGAGAAACUUCGGAGCCGUGUCUUACAAAUCGGAUGUCUACAGUUUUGGAAUGUUGGUGAUGGGAAUGGUUGGCGGUAGGAGGAAUGUCGAUCCGCAAAUUGAGAACCAAAGCGAGUUUUAUUUUCCGGAGUGGAUUUAUGAUCAACUAGUGAAUGGGCAAGACAUUGGGCCGGCGAUAGAGAUAGCAAAUACAAGCGAAAUAGAAAUUGUGAAAAAACUCGCAAUUGUAGCAUUGUGGUGCAUACAAUGGGAUCCGAGGGAUCGGCCGUCGAUGACGAGAGUUGUGCAGAUGCUGAUCGGCGAUUCGCAAAAUUUGCAAAUGCCACCGAAACCAUUUGUGUCCUCACCAGGCCAAGAUGUAAUAAUCGCAGCUCCAAAUGAAGAAUAGGAGCAUUGUCCGGUCCCUAGCUACCUUUUGAACAUCACGUAUUAAUUCGAGUUCGUAGUUAUUUUGUAACUAAUUAUCCUUGUUUUAUUUUCCUUUCUACAAACAAAGUUCGAACCUGGGUCAUAGUGCUCAGGUGAAGGGUAUCUGUGAUCAAUUAUCUUUAGGAAUUGUGGUGGUUCAAUCUGAGUUUUGCUUUGGGCUUCUCUAUUUGCUUGAACUGUACUCAAGUUUAUGAGACCUGUUGUUACGGUUAUAUUAUAAUGUAUUAACUUUAAGGUUCGUUUGGUUCGAAAAUAAGCAAAAAGUGGGUAUUCCGGUGAUAGGUAUAAAUUGAGGUAUAAGCGGGAAUUAGAUGAAUUUUGCGUUUGGAUGAAAAUUGAGUACUAUUCCUGAGAAUAAGAAAAAUAGCGUUUGGUUAGGUAAGAUAGGAUAAGAAAUAACUUUAAUUCUAAUGUCACACCCCAAUAAUCCCACAUCGAAUAUGAAUAGAGAUGUGAUUGGAUAUAUAAGAGACUUAGACAUUAGUAAUAAUAACUGGGUUUAAGCAUUUUGGGCUAGUGUUUGAACCCAACGAGUUAUUAUUGCUAGUGGGCUGGGUCGUUACAUUUGGUAUCAGAGUCAGUUUACUAGACGAAUAUAAAAUUAACAGAUACACAAAAAUAUGUCUUCUUCCUCCCUUCGUGCCCGUCCUCUUCACCCUGUCUCCCCCUACCCUCCCCAUUCACACGCUCCCACAUGGGCCCCUCGUCCUGUUGGCGAGUCACGUGUUCGCCAGGGGGUUUCUUUCAAGGACGCCACUUUGGCUCAUUGCCCCUACCCUGGUCCCCCCUUUCCCCCCCUUCGCAUCCAGCGCCCCUCCUUGUCUCUUCCCCUUCAUCCCCCCAAAUUUUUGCUGAACCCUUCUCUCAAGGGACGCUGUUUCAGAUGUUUCGAGCGGGGCCAUCGCGCCGCUCUCUGCAGGGAGCCUAGGCGCUGCCUCCUCUGCAUGAAGAUUGGCCACCCUGCUUCCCGUUGCAGGUUCCUGCCUGGCUCCUCGCGUGGACCCAUGGAUCCGGGCCCUUCCUCUCGCCGGUUCGCCGCGUUGCCCCCCUCCGCCCCCGCCCCGGGACCUUCCUCUGGGCGACCAAGCUUCUUGCCUGCUUUUCUCCCUCCCCGUCCCCCCCCUCCUGGACUUCCUUCCCUUUCGGCUUGUGUGGCUAGGGCGGAAGUUCUAGGCCCGUCCGGGGUAGCUGUGGAAGCUUUUCCUGAUGCCAAAGACGCCCUUUCUCGGGGGCUCGCUGCUAGGUAUGGGAGGACAAGCAGAGAGUUCUUGGUUGCAGAUUUCGCCGCCCCUGCCCUGGCAGUCUUCUUCCCCAACUGGGUUUCCAGAGAGUCGGCCGUCAGCAGAAGCCCCCUCAGGUUUGAUGGGUUUGUUUUUAAACUUUCAAAUUGGGUCGAAGCCGCUGAGUUGGACAGGGGUCACCUUCGGUGCAAGGCCUGGAUCCGCCUUCUCCACUGGCCAAUCCUUUGCUGGAACGAGGAGGACGUUAAGGCUGCCAUCAGCGGUUUUGGCAAGCUUUGGCAUGUCGAUCGCCUGAGCGAAAGUCAAACCAACGUCUCUUUCUUCCGUGCCUUGGUGCGCUGCCCAGAUGUCCACUCCAUUCCGGAAGCUCUCCACUUAACGAUCGAAGACAGACGUUUCCAUAUCCCGGUGGAAGUUGAGUCUUGGGAGGAGGCCAACCCCAUCUUUCUUGGAGAAGACUUGGAUGCCCGGCUAGGCCUUGAGACUUCUGAGGCUCAAGAUCGAUUCAUCCGGCAGACCGGCUUCUCUUCCAUCCCCGCUCAAGGCUCUCUGGACUGGCCUCACAUCUCCCGCGGGGAUCCGCACCGUCACAGUUCUUCCGGGGGAGCGGCCCGGCCUACGGCUCCGGCAGCCGGGACCUCUUCAUUUUCAAAUCCUUCCUCACCGGCACUGUUACCCAGGCCUCCUCCUUCUGUACCGAGAACAUCUUGUGCUGUUUUGGACAGGCCAGCCGAUGGGACUGGUGACAAGGAUGGGUCAGCUCGGCCAGCUGUUAUGGAAGGGCCAGCUGUUUUUUCCCUCCCCGCGAGACUUGCUUCGGAUACUGGAGCUGGGCCUUUUGCUUCCGGCCCCCCUCCCCUUGAGCCCAGCUCGCCACCUCCUGGGGGCCCUUCCGUUGCCGUGAGUAGGCCCCCGUCUCCCGGGAGCCCGAGCCCAUCCUCUCUCGCCUGCUUAUCCGCUCCACUUCUUGGUCCCCCUCCCUCUGCGUGCGGGCCGGCCCCUCCUGAGGGCCCCUCCCCCUCCGAUUGCAGGCCGCCUACCCCCGUUCCUUCGGGCCCCGCACCUGGUGAAGCGGGAUUGCCAGACUCGGACGGCUCAUGUCUUUCACACAACCCCUCCCACUCCGGCGCCCCCUCUUUGGUUUCUAAUAAGUUUGGCUCUUUCAGGCGAAGCUUGCGAUUGGCAUUGAAGAACAUGGGUAUCAACAAAAAUUCACUUCAGCGUGCCCAGGAUCUUAUGUGCUCCAAACUCAAAACCAUGAAGGCUUCUCACGUUGCCCAUUCUUCUCCUGCCGCGAAGCCCGUGCCCCUUGCCCUCCCCUCAGUGGAUCCCCCGCCGGCUCCACUCCUUGCUUCCUCGUCGGCGUCCGAAGGGGCUCCACCUCCUAGAGAUCCGGCACUCCCUCUCACUGCUCCUAGAGAUCCGGCACUCCCUCUCACUGCUCCUGAGAUCCGGGAGAUCCUCAUCUCCUGUGGCUUCAAUGAGCGGGUUGGGAUUGCUGCUGAUCGGGCUGAUGGCGAGAGGGGUGCCUCUCAGGCUCAGGUUGACGCCUGAGGUCCUGCUGCCGCCCCUGGUUUUUGUGUCUCCACCUCCUAUGGCUAGAAACAGAGUUUUCCGCUUCCUCACUUGGAAUGUUCGUGGUCUGAACGAUCAGAAUAAGUGUAGUGUUGUUAGAUCUUUCAUUCGCUUCAGUAAAGUCUCUGUUGUCUGUUUACAAGAAACUAAACUCUCCUCUACUUCCUUGGAUAAAUUUCGUUCGUUUUGUGGCUUUCAUCUUCAAGAGUUUCGUACCUUGGAUGCCGCCGGCACUCGAGGGGGCCUUCUGACGGCAUGGAACAGCUACCUUUUUGAUUGUGCUCAACACUGGAAUGGCUCUCAUACACUUAAUGUGCUCCUUCAGCGGAAGGCCGAUGGAACCUUCUUCCUCAUUACUAAUGUUUAUGGGCCAACGGGCAACAGCCCCAAAACCCCCCUUUUCCUUGAGCUGAGGCAUAUUGCCAAUUUUUCUCGAGGACUUUGGACAGCGCUGGGAGACUUCAAUGUCCUUUUAUCCUUGAAUGACAAAAAUGGGCUACCGUCGAACACCGCGGAUAUUCUGGCUUUUCGCGAGGCGAUCUCUGACGCUGGGCUUCUCGACCUACCUAUUUUGAAUAAAUCAUUCACCUGGUCCAACGGCAGGAGGAAUCCCACCCUCGAACGCCUUGAUCGUGCUCUUAUCUCUCAGGAUUGGCUGCUGCGCUUCCCACGUUCCACCCUCAAGGCGCUCCCGCGACCCAGAUCUGACCAUACCCCUCUGGUACUCUCGGCUUGGACUUUUGUACCUACCCCGCGUAUUUUCAGAUUUGAAUCUUGCUGGCUCCACGCCUCUACAUUGUCCAGCGUUGUGGCCACUGCCUGGAAUGCGGCUCCGGCUGGAGAAGACUCGGCCAGCACCUUCUGCUCCAAACUUGAUAGAGUGCGAAGAGACCUUCAGCUCUGGAGCAGGGACUUCUCCUCUUCUUUCAAGCGCCAAACCUCCUCCUGUCUGCAGUGGCUCCAUUGGCUCGACGCUGCUGAGGAAAGGAGAGUGCUCUCGAUCCCAGAAUGUCGACUCCGUCCCAAGAUUAAAAUCAGGUACGAGGAGCUUUGCCUUAUUGAGGAAACCAAAUGGAAGCAAAGAUCGAGAAUUCAUUGGCUUCGCGAGGGCGAUGCCAAUACUAAGUUCUUCCAUCUCAGCGCCAGUCGUCGGAAAAGCAGGAAUGCAAUCUCGCAACUUUCGGACGGUACCACCGCUCUCUCCUCUCAUGAUGCUAUUGCGAACCAUUUGUUUUCCUAUUAUCUAAAUCUGAUAGGUUCGGCGCACCGGUCCAGCUCCUCUAUUAAUUUUUCUCUUCUCUUUGAUGACACCCCGGUUGAUCUGUCUUCUCUCCACGCUCCUUUCUCGGAGGAUGAGGUGAGGUCGGCAGUCUUCGCUUGUGCACCUGACAAGGCCCCGGGACCCGACGGCUUUCCUUUGCUUUUCUACCACCGCUUUUGGGCCUUGUUGAAGUCAGACGUCAUGAAAAUCUUCGAAUCUCUCUUUGCUGGUUCUCUGGACGCUGGUGGGAUUAAUUCCAGCUGGAUCUGCCCCAUUCCUAAGAAACCCACUAUUCUGGUGGCACGAGAUCUCCGUCCUAUUAGCCUUGUUCAUAGCAUGGCAAAAAUUCUCUCCAAAGUUUUGGCGACCAGACUGCAAUCUGUUUUGCAUCUUCUGAUCAACCCCUUUCAAACGGCAUUCAUCCGGGGACGCCACAUCCUUGACAACUUCUACUGCGCACACUUCCUCAUUCAUCAUCUCCAUGCUUCUAAAAAGCAAGCGGCACUAUUCAAGAUUGACUUCGAUCGAGCUUUUGAUCACAUCAACUGGGCUUUUCUACUCGACCUACUUAUUGCCAGAGGCUUCAGCAGUAGGUGGACGGGAUGGAUCUCUGCUCUGCUCAGCUCAUCCUCCUCUGCUGUUCUCUUAAACGGAGUCCCAGGUUCUUCUUUUCAAUGCAGGAGAGGGCUCCGGCAGGGUGACCCGUUGUCGCCGCUUCUCUUUGACCUCUGUGUUGAUGUGCUUUUCAGACUUUUCGACAAAGCAGUCCUUUCGGGGAAUCUUCCGGGGGUAGGAAUUGGAGAUGUUACAAUUCACUCUCUUUACUUUGCUGACGACGCACUCUUAUUUUUCGAUGGUUCUGUAAGAUCGGCGGUGGUCAUCAAGUGCAUUCUUGAGGCGUUCUCUGCCAAUUCGGGCCUCAAGAUUAACUUCCACAAAAGCUCCUUGACCCCUAUCAACCUUCCCGUAGACCGAGCUUCUGCUCUCGCCUCCUGCUUCAACUGUCCUAUCCAAGCUUUUCCUUUGCAGUACCUGGGGCUCCCACUAUCUCCUACGCCUCCUCGUCGAAUGGAUUAUGUUCCUCUCAUCGAAAAGGUUGACAAUCGUUUGGCUGGUUGGAAAUGCUCCACCCUUUCUAGAGGAGGCCGUCUUAUUCUACUCAACUCGGUCCUAUCUUCUAUGCCUACUUAUUUUUGCUCCGCGUUUGCGCUCCCCGCUUGGGUUGUCACAAAGUUAGAAAGGACCCGCCAAAGCUUUUUCUGGAAAGGAAAGACCUCUACUAGUGGUUUUCACUGUUUGCUGAGUUGGGGUAGAGUCUGUCGCUCCAAAAAAACUGGGGGGGUCGGGAUCAGAAGCAUCCGAGCGACGAACUCGGCCUUACUGAUGAGGGGUCUGUGGAAGUUUCUUACAUCAAUCAAUCUUCCCUGGACUCAGCUACUAAAGCUGAAACACUAUAAAAGGAGACCGGUUGCGGCAUUGACCUCCGUCCCUUACUCCUGCAGCCCUAUUUGGAGAUAUAUGCUUAGCCAAUCUGCCCCUUUCCUUUCUUCGCUCGACGUCGUUAUCGGCGACGGAAAGGCGACCCCCUUUUGGAAAGUGCGAUGGUGCGGGGACAUCUCUCUACAAUAUCGUUUUCCGACUCUUUUUGCGGCUGCACCUAACACCAACAUCUCCGUCAGUUCCUGGAUCCUCCGAUUCGCCAACCAGCCUAAUCUUGGUUUCCUGCCCUCGACCUAUCCUAUGGCACAUCUGGAACUCGAUCAUCUUACCACUCUGUCCAACUGCAUCAAUUUAUCGACAAGUGAUCCCGACGUGUUCAGCUGGAGGUGGACCACCACAGGAGCGUUCUCUGUGAGCAGCGCAGCGGAGUUUAUACUUUACGAUGGAGUCAUUGAUUGUAAUCUACCUUUCCUCUGGAAACUCAAAAUUCCGUUAAAAGUGAAGCUAUUUAUUUGGCUAGCAGAGAAAAACAAGAUCUUGACAGCUGAAAAUCUACUCAAGCGUGGAUGGCACGGGCCGACGAUUUGUGUAUUAUGCAACUCAGACGCCGAAACUACACAACACCUCUUACUUUUGUGCAGGUAUGCUUCCUCGGUGUGGAACGGCCUUCGGCGACGUAUUGCUUCCCCUCCUCCCAGUAGACAGCCACUACCAAGUAGCUUCGCUUCUCGAUGGAGAUGGCUUAGGCAGCUAGCUACUGGCCAGAAUCUAUUUGACUUAGACCUUGCCAUCGCAGCGACUUUUUGGGAAAUUUGGAAUGAACGGAACAGAAGAUUAUUCGAAAAUCGACGGAUCUCAAGCGAGGCCCUGGCUAAUCGCAUUGUUGAUACGGCUCGAUCCUGGAAGAAGGGAUGUCGCUCCAUCGGCAUCCAUGUGCAUAAUCAGCUCGGGUCUUAAUCACCAUUAAUAGCUCCUCUAUUUAACUGCUUGGUGCUUAGCUUGUUAAUCCUUUUGUCUAUGAUCUUUGUUUCCCUCGAUCCUACUCUUAUCCCUGCUUUGUUCUUGUAUUGGGUACUGUUUUGCUCCCUUCCUAUUGGGGCUUUCUAGGAGAUCUCUGUCAGCUGUUUCGAUUGUCCAUUGUGGAGUGCUUUCAUCCUCCCUGUAAUCUCUUCACCUUUGUAAAAUAGGGUUUACCCCUGUUUAAUCAAAAAAAGUUUACUAGACGAAAAUGUAUGGCGAGUCUCGGCUAAGCAGGGUCUGAAAGAUAAAGUGACCGGCUAUGCCAGGGUCUCCUAUGUGUGUGAUUGGACUGACGUCCUUGGGUAUAUAAAAGACUUAGACACUAGUAAUAAUAAUUGGGCUUAAACAUUUUGGGCUAGUGUUUGGGCUCAACGAAUUAUUGUUGCUAGUGGGCUGGAUCGUUCUCUCUCUCUCUCUUUCUCUCUCUCUCUCGUACAUGUAUUUAUAUAUUCUAGUGUAUUUCAAUUUUGUGGAUAAGACUAUGAUGUUUAUUUUUUACUUUGUUACUCCGUAGUUUAAAAAUUUAUACUUAACUACAUUAUGGUUUAGCACAUUGUUUACUUUGGUAUCCUAUGAUUUUUUUUUAAAAAAAAUUUUGUUUUGCCAUCCUAUUUGAUAUAGAAUUUUUGAUGAAAUAAAAUUAAGUUACAGUAGAAAAACUUGCAACUUUUUAUACUACGGAGUGACAAAGUGAAAAUGCACUGUACCAUAAUGAGGGCAAUUGAAAGUUUACUCUAAAAUAAAAAAAUAGUGCUAGAAUUACAACUCAUCUUGAAUUGCAAUUUCAUAACUCUUAUUAUCCAAUUGUUCUCUUCCCUCUACCUAUCUUAUCACUUCUUUUUUCUAAUACUAAAAACACAGAAGGGCUAGAAAAACCUACGGCCCUUAAAUGGGGGGUUGCUGGAUUAAAAUCCUUUUUGGCUGUCGACCUUAGCAUUUCUUAAAAUAAAAUUGAGUCCAUCUUUACUUUUAUUAUUUGUUAGUUUACAAAUUUAUUUUGAAAAAAAAAAAGAAAUAAUUUCUUUAGAAGUAUAAAUUUUUUAAAUAAUCAGUUUUUCAUCAGUUAGUCUAAUCACGUGUAAAGUUUUAACUUAGAGAAAAAAAAAAAUACUAGUCUGAGUAAACAAGUAAUUAAUUUAUCACUUAAAUAUUUUAAUUAUAUUUUUUGGCAACUCCAAAAGUUAAUUUCUAACUCAGUGGCUUUUACAAUGAAANNNNNNNNNNNNNNNNNNNNNNNNNNNNNNNNNNNNNNNNNNNNNNNNNNNNNNNNNNNNNNNNNNNNNNNNNNNNNNNNNNNNNNNNNNNNNNNNNNNNUUAGAUUGGGUGUUUUGAUAUAUGCGACCGGUUGAUGCAUACGUACAGUCUUGCUUUAUAGUCGUCUUGCUACUAUAGUGUUUAUCCAGGUUUGCUUUCUAUUCCAGUUACAGUAGCGGUAGCCGUUAUGCAGUUUAGUUCCUUCGCACCCUUGUCUUGCUAUUAUAGUCGGAUAUCUCUGCAUGUACGCUUGUCGUUCUAUUUACAGUAGCGGUAGUUGUUCUUGCAUAUCUAUAUCUCUUUCGUUGUGAUCGUUGCUACUGUAUUCCACUUACGUAUAUACUAUUGUUUAUUUUCCUAAUCCGGUGAGUACUCGUCGCCCUCGUCAGCUUGCGGUACCCACUGGGAGGGGAGACAUGUUUACAUGUUCUCACCUCCCCCACUAUUUUUCAGGUAUUGCAGGCGUUGAAUUUUGGGACGAGACGUGAGGUACGUUCAGGUAUUGCAGGCGAUGAGUUUUGGGACGAGACGUGAGGUACGUUCGUAGCGGUCGAUAGAGCUUCCGACCCAGAUUAUCGGUUUAGUUUUAUCCCUACUAUUCUGUUGUUAUAGCUUAGUCAGUUUAUAUGGUUCAGUUAGAUGAUCAUACUUGAUGUUUGAAUGUAAUAAAAAGGAUUUCUGGAUUUGGUAAAAAUAAAAAGUUUCCUACCCCUGCGUGGUAGAAUUAUAUAAAAGAUAAGUUCGCGUUAUGGAACAGUUUUCAAAAAGAUUUUCGUGACUUUUUUUAAACAUCGAAUGUAAAACUACGGUGUGAAUGGUGAAUGUAUGAUGUUAAUAGGCUAUCUAUAUAUUCAUUUAGUUGCUGGUUGUUAUACUGUUUGUAAUUGUCUUGUGCGAUCGCGUGCAAAUACAGGGGAGACUUCUGUCCGUAGUGAACAAUGAGAUUCCUCUGUAUUUUGCUGGUAACCUGGCAUAACUCUGGGUCAGUUUUCAAAAAAAAAUUUUUAAACGCUUUUCCGCUGUGUUUCAAACUAAAAGGGGACCCCGGGGCGUGACAAUGCUACAGUUGACCUAUUGGUGUACUUCGCCACUCUUGGUGGCGUACCCACUGGGAACUAUUGUUUAAUAGUUCUCACGCCCUUUUUGUUGUUGUUUUUACAGAGCCUUCCACAGCGGGUAAGGCUAGGGUCCCUGGCGAGGGGUCAGCGACUAGCUAGAGCUUCCUCAAUGUUAGAUAGCUGGAACCACUUCAACUUUUCUAGUUUUGUGCUAUAAAUUAUAGUUGUUCUUACCUGUUGUAAUAGGAUGUUGUGUUGUAUAAGUUUCCUAUAUUUGUAAGUUAUGCUCUGAUUACCUAGUUAGAAUCGAUUGCUUGUUUAUUCUCUUUGUAGACGCCUGGUGUACAUUGUGGUAGUUGAUGUACACGGCGGGUCUGUGCACAUUACUGUGAGCUUCCGCUGAAGUCCAGGGCGUGACAUUUACGUAUUAAUUUGCACUAAUUUAGAAAAUUAAUUGAUUAACCAAAUUUAUGCAUUAAUUAGGCAUUAAUUUAGGCAUAUACUUUUAAUGUUUUAGUGUUUCUAAAAUUAUGCAUUAAUUUAAAUUAUAAGAAUUUUAGAAAAGUUUUAUUUCUAAAUACGAUGAAUUUCAAAUUUAAAUAUUAAAUAUUUAAAAUUUAAAAGUGAAAUUUAAAUUAGAGGAAUUUUAUAUUACUAUUUUAAAAAAUUGUAAUUAUAAAUAUUUUAAUUCAACAUAUUUAAUAUGUUUAAGAAACUUUUAAAUUUCUAUUGUUUAGACAUUGAUUUUGUAUCACUUAUUUAAAAAAUUUUGAAUGUAGGUUAAAAUAAUGCCACACACAUUUUCCAUCAGAAUAUUGUUUUCUGAUCCAUUAGCCAUCGUAAAUUUCAACAAGUUAUUACUAUCAAAACUAAUAAAAAAUUAAUAUCCUAUUAUAUGAUAAAAUUUGAAAAUUCUCAGAUCGAACUAGAAAAAAAUUAACUAACAAAUUAAAUCACAAAAUAAUCUAAAUUUCAUUCUUAUAUUAUUAAAAAAGGAUUUAGAAAGCAAUAUGUAUGGAAAGAAAUUUUAAUGCAUAGUUUCUUAAAAUUAAACUCAUUUGCAAUAUUAAACAAAUAAACAAAGAGAAAAAAAACAAAGAGAAAAUAAAAAUUUUAAAAAUAUAGUAGAUAUAAAAUGACUAAAUUGCCCAUGUAUUAAAAGACAAAAAUACUCUUUUUUGAGGUACCUGAUAACCGGUACCUCUCCCAAAGUGACCUGCUAUUGCAGGUGACAAUUUAAAAAAAAUUAAAUCUGAACCGUUGAAUACGCGUGAAUGAACGGUAACAAAAAAAAAGUAUAGAAGCAUUACUCUAAUAAUUAUUAUCUAAUUAUAAAUAAUUAAUUAUAAAUAAAUAAUUAUUUUAUUAUUUUAUUAUUUAAGCAAUAGAUAAUGAUUUAAAUAUAUUAACUAGAUUAAUUAAUAAUUUACUAUCAUUAAAAUUAAAUUUAGACUUUAAUUAACCUUGUUCUCAUCCAGGAACAAGCUUGUUCCAAGAAAAAGGUGGAACAGCAGUUCCAGCCUUAUACCUGCUAGUUCUAGAAAUACGGGAACUACUAUUCUCGGGUACAAAACGCUGCGUUUGAGAACAAAGGGGGGAACAAGAGCUUAUUCUCCCCCUUGUUCCCGAACCAAACGCUACCUUAAAGUUUUUAGUUCCUUGCUUUUCAUUAGCUUCAAAAUUUUGCUGAAUUGACAUUGAUUAUGUAUUACUAUGUUGCUCCAUAGUAUCCUGUUGUGGCUACAUGAUUAAACUAGUCAACUAACUAAAAUAUAAAUAAAAUUACAAUAUAUAUAAAUCAUAUAUAUAACAAAAUACACUGAAUAUUAAAAUAAAAUACAAAUCGAAUUUUAAUCAAACAUGAAAAUCAAAGUACAUAUUGAUUUCUAAAAAAAAUCAUCAUAUCAAAUUUCAAAACAAGAUACAUUACACAGCAAAUUUCAUUGCACACCACAUACUAAAAUACACAGUAAGUAUUAAAACCAUAAAAUAAAAGUACAAACUAUAUUCCAUCCAAAAUACAACAUCACCAUAAAUAUUAAAGUGUAUAGCAACUUACAUAUCCAAAAACAUAAUAAUAUAUAACUUGAAGCUACCUUUUCUAAUAUAUAUGUAUAUAACUUUACCCAAGGUUUAUAUCAGAGCUGUCUAUACAAAAGUUGAAAAGUUCAACAAUACAUAUCAAAUAGAACCAUAAUCUCUUUUCCACAUUUGAUUGGCAAGUUGAUCCCUUAAGGCCGCCCACUCCCAAUUUUCUUCUCUUUGUUCUCAUGUCGAUCUAGCACAUGGAUUUGAGUGAGUUUACAGUUUCCUUUCUACAGCUCUCACAAUUCGAUCCCUAGGUGAUACACCUAUUAUGAAAUUAUGCAAGAUACAACACACAAGAACUAGAGCAACCUGCGUUGGCUAUCUAAAAUGCGGAUAACAUGUUAAAAUUCUAAAUCGCUGUUUCAGGAUUCCAAACGCACGUUCUAUGGUUGUUCUUAGUGAGGAGUGUCGUAGGUUGAAUAGUUCCUUUGAGUUAGUUGGAGGAUUAUCUUCGCUAAAAUCUUUCAAGUGAUAUCGAGUACUACGGUAAGGAGAAAUGAAACCUUUUUUUGUGAAAUAUCCUACAUCAACAAGAAAGUAUUUCCCUAUAUUUCACAACAACCACUACUUAGUUAAUGAACUUAAUAAAAGGAUAAUUAGGAUUAGAAUUAAUUCAAUUAUUAGUGACCUACCUUCUGGAACUAUAAGUCCAUUUGGUCUCUCCAACGCAUUGCGUAGAACAGUACAAUUAUUAGCUGAUCCUUCCCAACCAGCCAAUAUAUAGGAAAAUAUUAAAUCAAAUCUAACAAUGCCCAUAAUAUUUUGAGUAGGUCCUUGGUACCGUCCACGAAAUCGACCAACAAUGCUACUAGGUACUCUAGCUGGCACAUGCAUGUGUACCAUCUAUUGCCCCUAUACAAUCCCGCAACGUAAGAUCAUGCAUCUCGAUUUACCAUUAUCAAUUUAAAUAAAAAAUUUAUUAAUCACUCUUAAUUAUAAUAAAAAUACCUUAAAAUAUGUCCAAAAUCUGAAAUUAUUUUUUAUUUUGUCUGGUAUUGUCGCGUCAGGUGGAAGACAUAAGCUCGUCUUUGAGAGAUGCAAUAGCAUUCAAUGCCUUUUUAAAAUAUCUGCUAACGGUCUCACCCGAACGACUAAAAUUAUGCCCAAUUACUCUAUUUUUCUGAUUAUGCCCAAUUGUGUGUAAGAACAUCAUUAAUUGUUCCUCGACUGAAACAUGGAUAGAAUCACAUAGUAGGUGCCUUCCUCUGAUCAUUUUGCUCAAGUGAUAAAAGGAUUUUCUAUCCAUUCUAAUCAUAGCAAUAGAAAUUCUAUCACUGUGACGGAUUCUAUUUAGAUAAGUUUGUCUAUCCAAAUCAUUAUAUGUGGAUAAUGUUUUAGGAAUUAAUGCUUGAAUUUUUUUGUACAACUUUCGCUAUUGCUACACAAAUAAACAAAAAGGCAACUUUUAUAAAAUCUUCAGAUUGAUGGAGGGCAUCCUCCAUGUGCAAAUCCAUCUACAAAAAGAAUAAUAUUAUAUUGGUAGUAGAUAAAUUUUGAAGUUAUAUAUAUAUAUAUAGCUGAUCAUGCAAAUAAAGUUCACCAAAAUUGAGAUAAGUUUGAGAUAGUUUUAAAAGACAAGCAGGUUACCAAAGAUGCAAGCAAAUUUAAAACAGUUUCAAACGAUAACUAGAUGAAAAUUUUAAACCACAAAGUCAUAUAGAUAGAAUCGCAAACAAUAUAAAGUAUAAGUUGCACUAUUGAUAAUCGCAAAAUUUAAAAGAAAUAGAAUUAGGGAAAAUAAACUUAACAGAGUAAGUGCCAAAGCAUAUUAUAAAUAUUUAAAAAAUUAACAUAAAAAUGUACAAAACUUAUCUCUACUAUCAUCCGUUUGAUCUAGCUAUCAAAUUUUAAAAAAUUUUGGUUUUUCUACCUAGCCUAGUAAUUUAUUUGAUUUGAACCAAGUAAUAAUUUUCAACUUCUAAAUUUAAAUACGUCAUUUGUCUUUACCGGCUAAAUUAGCAUGAUAAAUGUAAACAAUCAACUUUUAAAUUUUAUACUGGAAGAACCAUCAAAUGACGUAAAUCAAACAAAUUGAAAGGUUAGGUUGUAAAAUUAAAUUUUUAAAGAGUUGAAUAGUCAAAUCAAAAUGGUCUAUAAUUCAACUAAAUUCUAUGCAUUUUUAACUAAAAAAAAGAAAUUAUGAAAUGUUAUCUUGUAAUAGCCAUUGAUAGUAAUUAAUUAAGACGCAUUGCGAAUAUACAUUCUAAUCAAAGUGUUAUAUAGGAAUAACAAGAAGAUACUGCUAGUUGGGAGUAAAAAAAAGGAAUAUAUAAAAAUGCACAGUAUAUAUUCAAAUUAUCUAUGUGGAAUUCAUAGAAAAAAUGAAAUAAAAAUGUAUAAUAGAAAAUGAAAUACUGAGAAAGAGGCAUAUUUUGAUUGUACAAACUCAUCAAUAGUUCUAAAGUUUAUUAUAUUCUAUAAAUAGGAUUUCUAUUUAUUUCUACUAAUUGCACAAAAAUCCUCUAAUAAAAGAAAGAGAAUGGCAGCUAAAGUCUCUAUUUUAAAAACCUUGACCUAAGCAAAAUCAAGUAUAGAGACUUGGAUUUAAAUAUUUUGAUCAUUCUUGCUCUUGGGUCAAAAUGGAAUUAAUGUAAAUUUAAAUUCAUAAAUACUACCUAUAAUUCAAAUAGGAAAAAAAAUAUUUAUGGGCAAAGAGAGAAAGGGAUAGAUCUUUAAAGCUAUUGGAGUCAGAGAAAGGAUGAGGAAAAAAAAAAAAAUUAUCUCGUUCUUGAUUUGAAGAGGAGGAAACUGUAGGUGUGUUUUUGAGGGUUUGAGAGAGAGGUGAGUAGUGUGAGAGACAAGUAUUUUGCAAGGUGGUGAUUUUAGCGUAGGAAAGGGAAAAGAUAUUUUCUUUUCCCGUGCGUAGCUCGCUCCGCUUUUCGUUUUCCGCCUCCGCCAGGCGAAAAACGAAAGACCACAUUUUCCCUAAAAUAUGUAAACGUAGUUUUCCUUGAAAAAAAUUACGCCCAACCAAAUAGUCGGAAAACCAUUUUUCAAUUGAAAAACUAUUUUCGGCCUAUUUUUAUAUGGAACCAAACAGGGCCUUACUGUAAAUGUUGAACGCAGCAGAAGAAUACGUUCGUACCUUUUGCAGAAGCGACUCGCAAUAAAAUGCGAUGAGUCCGGAUCGUGGAGAUUGAUUCACGUGUCCUUAGAUCGUACACGAAGAUCUUCUAACGCUCCAACACUCGCGGUAGAUCGAACUACGAAUAAGCACAAUCUCUAAUCCACCGUUCAAGACCUUCUAGAAUAAUAGGUUAAUGGAGAAUGUGGUUUCUCUCUCUAGUAAAAUGACUCACAAAUUACUCACGAAUUUACGAGUAUUUUUCUCUAUUUUUUCCUUCUU
rnacentral:lncRNA from 1 species